rnacentral:lncRNA from 1 species
CGUUGGAGGUCUUGUGUUCGUAUCCUUGCGCAAGCGUGGAUGUUAAUUUUUGCUCGGUUGUUUGAUAGAGUUUUACUAGAUCUAAAAUUCUAAGGGAGUUAUGAGUUUUGGGUUAGUGGGAGAAAAAUAAGGGAUUAUGUAGGCAUAUCUUUUAUUUUUUUUCUUUUUUUUCAAAUUUUAAUUAGUUUUCUCUCUUCUUCCAAAGUUGACGUCGAUUUCUGCUCCUUCUAUUCUUUUCUAUCAAUUUUAUUU